rnacentral:misc_RNA from 1 species
AGCAAGCAAAGCCCUAAAACAGAACACAAAUGAAUGAUAAACAUAAAAGAAGGUUCCUAAGCCCUUUCUCCUCGAAUCCUCCUAGCAAGGUGAAUAUCCUUGGGCAUGAUAGUUACCCUCUUGGCAUGGAUAGCACAGAGAUUGGUAUCUUCAAAGAGCCCAACGAAGUAGGCCUCAGCAGUCUCUUGUAGAGCAGCAACAACACUAAUCUGGAACCUCAGAUCUGUCUUGAAA